rnacentral:rRNA from 1 species
CCUACGGGUGGCAGCAGUGAGGAAUAUUGGUCAAUGGACGAGAGUCUGAACCAGCCAAGUAGCGUGAAGGAUGACUGCCCUAUGGGUUGUAAACUUCUUUUAUAUGGGAAUAAAACGUUCCACGUGUGGGAUUUUGUAUGUACCAUAUGAAUAAGGAUCGGCUAACUCCGUGCCAGCAGCCGCGGUAAUACGGAGGAUCCGAGCGUUAUCCGGAUUUAUUGGGUUUAAAGGGAGCGUAGGUGGAUUGUUAAGUCAGUUGUGAAAGUUUGCGGCUCAACCGUAAAAUUGCAGUUGAAACUGGCAGUCUUGAGUACAGUAGAGGUGGGCGGAAUUCGUGGUGUAGCGGUGAAAUGCUUAGAUAUCACGAAGAACGCCGAUUGCGAAGGCAGUUCACUGGACUGCAACUGACACUGAGGCUCGAAAGUGUGGGUAUCAAACAGGAUUAGAUACCCUUGUAGUC